rnacentral:rRNA from 1 species
UACGUAGGGUGCAAGCGUUGUCCGGAAUUAUUGGGCGUAAAGAGCUCGUAGGCGGUUCGUCGCGUCGGCUGUGAAAUCCCGAGGCUCAACCUCGGGUCUGCAGUCGAUACGGGCGGACUGGAGUACUGCAGGGGAGACUGGAAUUCCUGGUGUAGCGGUGAAAUGCGCAGAUAUCAGGAGGAACACCGGUGGCGAAGGCGGUUCUCUGGGCCUUACCUGACGCUGAGGAGCGAAAGCGUGGGGAGCAAACAGG